UCAAACGGGAUUUAGAUUUACAAUCAAUUCAUAGUUCUGACAGAUCAUUUCACUCGCGCACCGAAUCGUUUGGAGCGAUUUCUCAGUCCUUCAAACAGUGACAGAAUACUUGAGCACACCGUGAACAAAAAGAGCGCGGGAAAAGCGGAUGUUUGUCUGAACGCUGAAGUUGCCACACCUGCACAUGGACUUGAACGAUGCAGUAUUUCAGAAUUGUUUAUUUAGAUGAAGAACCUUCACUUUACGACCACAACACAUGGGAGGCGUUUCAACCUUGCACUCCAGCUUCACCUCAGUGCCGGGCGCAAGCACAGAAAAGGUUGGAGUAAUAGGCUUGAGUGUGUAUGAUGGGCCGGCUUGCAGAGAAGGCCAACCUCCCCGACACCCCCGCCAACACUUCACAUGCGUUUGGCCGGCCCUGAAAAUCCCUGAAACUUGAAGAGCCGAGAGGUCAGACGAGUGCUCCGAUGAGAUGCAUCAAGGGAAAAGAUCUGAUUAUUUUCGAUCGAUCAAAAACCUGUGAAAGACCACCUCGUAAAAUCCACGACACUGUUCCACGGCACUCUAAAGACCAGCGUAGGAGAGCUCGGAGGAGUGGCAGCUGGAGAAAGAGUGAGAAAGAAAAGCAACAAAAGUGGCAGGAUAAAAGAAAUCUUGAUUUUGUAUGAGAGAGUAUUGAUUUUUUUUCCACUGGGUUGCCCACGAGCACCCUUUCUGUUAUUAGUUUAGAGAAGGGAAAAAAGAAAGAAAACGGCAUAUACACGAAAGAGAGAGACAGAAAGACAAAGAGAGGGAGUGCAGGAUGAGAAAAGCAAAAGAAGAGAGUAGAGAAAAUGAGACGGCAGAAACCAGAAAGACUUGGAAAGGGCACUGAAAGUGAAAAUUGAGAGACAUGUGAAAGAAAUGCGGUAUGUAUAUGCUGUUCAGUAUGCAGAUUCAUGGAA